rnacentral:rRNA from 1 species
AUACGUAGGGUGCGAGCGUUGUCCGGAAUUACUGGGCGUAAAGAGCUCGUAGGUGGUUUGUCGCGUCGUCUGUGAAAUUCUGGGGCUUAACUCCGGGCGUGCAGGCGAUACGGGCAUAACUUGAGUACUGUAGGGGAGACUGGAAUUCCUGGUGUAGCGGUGAAAUGCGCAGAUAUCAGGAGGAACACCGGUGGCGAAGGCGGGUCUCUGGGCAGUAACUGACGCUGAGGAGCGAAGGCAUGGGUAGCGAACAGAAUUAGAUACACGGGUAGUCCAUGCCGUAAACGGUGGGCGCUAGGUGUAGGGGUCUUCCACGACUUCUGUGCCGUAGCUAACGCAUUAAGCGCCCCGCCUGGGGAGUACGGCCGCAAGGCUAAAACUCAAAUGAAUUGACGGGG